AAAACGGCCCUUUUAAGGGCUACCUUUGGAAAUUCAACGGUUAGA
rfam:Macrostomum lignano uti_cns_0011843, whole genome shotgun sequence.